AACGAACGCUGGCGGCAUGCCUAACACAUGCAAGUCGAACGGGAUCCUAGCUUGCUAGGUGAGAGUGGCGGACGGGUGAGUAACACGUGGGAAUCUGCCUUUUGGUCGGAUAACCGCGGAAACUGCGGCUAAUACCGAAUGCCCUCGAGAGAGGAAAGAUUUAUCGCCAGAAGAGGAGCCCGCGUCCGAUUAGGUAGUUGGUGGGGUAAAAGGCCUACCAAGCCGACGAUCGGUAGCUGGUCUGAGAGGAUGAUCAGCCACACUGGGACUGAGAUACGGCCCAGACUCCUACGGGAGGCAGCAGUGGGGAAUAUUGGACAAUGGGGGCAACCCUGAUCCAGCAAUGCCGCGUGAGUGAUGAAGGCCUUA
rnacentral:rRNA from 1 species